rnacentral:lncRNA from 1 species
UUUUGCUUUUUUCUUCCUUAAUUCCUCGGCGGGGUCGGGGCGGUGCGUACGUCCGCGCGUGGCGGCUGCCCGCGGGGGCCGGCGCGGUGGGGGCGGGGGGCGCGGGGUCCCGCGGGCGCGGGGCUCUGCCGCGGCGGCGCGAAGCGGAGCGACGCGGAACGGAACCGGGGGGGAGCGCGGAACCGCGCCUCUCCGCCCGGGACACGCGGUGCCGCCGCCCUGAGCGCAGGUGUCUGAAGUUCUGCUUGCCUUCAAAAGUAGUGCUGAAUUCCCAGGAUGUAAGAAAUACAGUGCACUCCUUCCUCUCUUCUGGAAACUCCGUAGACUCCUUCAGUGCUGCUGCUGUGUUGGGUGAGGAUGAUCCAAGGGAUGCUCCACGUGCCGGACACAUAGUGUUGGUCAAACAUCCAGUGUCACGCAGCAAAUGUGAGCUGAUGGUCACAGUUGGGGCUGAAAUCCUUUAUUAAACAAAACAAAAGUCAAGUGAAGAAGGAAGGUUGGAACCGUUCACAAGAUCUUUCAGUUUAUUGCUCAACCUGUCAUAGAAGUCACCUUCUG